UGAUUUGCAUGUGCCCAGAGCACAGCCCACUGCCCUGAGCAGUUCUUGAAAGCUGCUGACACCCUGGGCAGGAGUCAGUCCUAGUGAGCACACAGCAUGGACAUGAAGGCCCCUGCUCAGUUCCUGGGGCUCCUGCUGCUCUGGAUUACAGGUACCAGAUGUGACAUCCAGAUGACCCAGUCUCCCCCCACUUUGUCUGCAUCUCCUGGAGACAGAGUCACCAUCACUUGCCGGGCCAGUCAGGGCAUUAACUAUGCGUUAAACUGGUACCAGCAGAAACCAGGAGGAGCUCCAAAGCUCCUGAUCUAUGGUGCAGACAAUUUACAAUCCGGGAUCCCCUCCAGAUUUAGUGGCAGUGGAUCUGGGACAGAGUACACUCUCACCAUCAGUAGCUUGCAGCGUGAAGACAUUGCCACUUAUUACUGUCAACAGUAUUAUGAUAGCCCAUCCACAGUGAUAAAAACCAUAACAUAAACCUCCAAGAAGCAGAAGUGUGAGCCUGGGCUGUCCCAGCUGCUUUCCUCAUACUUCCUCUUGCAAGAGCUGUCCUAGAAUCAGGACAGGAAAGAUGCCCAGGCUAUCCUGGACCAGCGAGCUUCUGUGUCUCAAUCUUUGGAGUAAGUGUAAUUAUAGUUGUGCGAUACUGGCACUGGCCUGAAUUUUGAAAUAUUAAAAUUACAUUCCAGACUAUAAACAUGGAAAUACUUGAAUUUAUUUAGGUUUUUUAAAUCUUGAAUAGAUAUUCACAAUGUGCACAAAGAUACUUCGAAGUUAUUUCAAAACUUUUAUAUUGAGAGUUUUCAAUAGUUCAUGCGUGAAUUUCAUCAGCAAGUGAAGACAGU